AACAUUUCACUGACGACUGCUUCCUCAACUUGGGCCAAUACAGAGCUGGACUUGCUCAUCGUCUGAAAAUCAAGUCUGGAUCAGUACCAACUCUCCUCGGCUCAGCUACAAACCUCGAAAAAGCCAGCUCAUCAAGUGCUUACAUUCAGCAGCUUCUCUCAAGGGAUGUUGCCUGCCAGACAGAAAACCUGGAAACGCAUAUUUGUAGGCACAAAGCUGUCCUUAAAGUCUAUGCAGCCCCAUUUUAAAAGUGAAGAAGACUGCGAUGCCUUUGGAGACCGUAGCACUCAGCGUGGCGUCACCUCAGAGAUUCUGGGUGUGGUCGCCCCUGGCUCCUCCCACUGGUCCAGUCACAGCGAGGAACUGGUGCAGCAGACCCCAGACACCAUUUCAAUCAAGGUUGAAGAGGAUAUUGGUGGAGGCUUGCCCGCCGUGGGUUAGUAUUACACAUUGAAUCUAUGCAAGAAAACAACCUUGAUCAACUGAGAAUGUA